UAUAAUAAGUAAUAACCACUUGGAAUAAAGAAUACAAAUAAUGUAAACAGGGGUCAUGCUAUGGCACUUGGAAGAAUGGAGAAUCAUCACAUUGACUUCUCAACAAGGAUGUUACCUCAGAGGAAUUUUGCCUCCUUGGAGUAGUUGGUAUUCUUCCGUAACAUAUAUCGUUUUAGCCUGUAGGAAAUGACUAAAAGAUACAUGAUGUUCUUACAUAACAAUCCAAAUAUUGAGAACAAUUCGAUGAUGCGAUGAGGAAAGUGACAAUCAGAGCUCCAUGGAAAGUAAAAAUCCAAUGCUAUUUUUAUGGAGGAAUUAUGAAGAUUCGUUCGGAUACUUUUUCACUCCUAAUUGAUGGUUGAUAUGAAUUAUUAUACAUUAUAUACGCAACGUCAACAACCUUAAAACGCACUACCUUCCUACGAUUUACUGAAAUCUUCUACAUGUUUUUGUUUUUUUCAUUGGAACAGCAAUCUCUUUUGCAAUGGCACAAUUGGAAGUUUAUACGUUAACUUAGGAUACAAUACUUUCUUUGCAUCAGUUACAAGACCCUCUUAAGAUUCACCUCCAUUCAUAUUUACUCUCUAAAAUAAAUAAUUCUAUGUUUAACUAAUUUUUGUUAUUAAUGACAAAAUGCAGACAAACUUUUAACUUUUUGACAAUAUUGUGCUGCUAUUGUGAAAAUGACAUAAUGCCCUAUUACUUAGAUUCAAGUUUCAAGUUCUUUAUAAAUAUAUAUAUAAAAGAAAAAUAUGAUUAUAUAAGCAAUUGUUUGGAGAAAAAAAAUCAAAAUGUAAAUAUCUAUAUAAAAAACAAGUCUCUUUUACGCAGUUUUUAGUCACAAUGCAGUUAAUGCACUGAAUAUUAGAUCCACUGUCCCUUUCAUGUUAGUACAAAAAUUAUGAAAAUUUACAUAUUUACAAACAUUUAUAAAAUACAAAUGAUGACCUAUUAAAGAUAUGCAAAUAAA
rnacentral:lncRNA from 1 species